rnacentral:rRNA from 1 species
UACGAAGGGGGCUAGGCGUUGCUCGGAAUCACUGGGCGUAAAGGGUGCGUAGGCGGGUCUUUUAAGUCAGGGGUGAAAUCCUGGAGCUCAACUCCAGAACUGCCUUUGAUACUGAAGAUCUUGAGUUCGGGAGAGGUGAGUGGAACUGCGAGUGUAGAGGUGAAAUUCGUAGAUAUUCGCAAGAACACCAGUGGCGAAGGCGGCUCACUGGCCCGAUACUGACGCUGAGGCACGAAAGCGUGGGGAGCAAACAGG